rnacentral:rRNA from 1 species
UGGGGAAUUUUGGACAAUGGGGGAAACCCUGAUCCAGCCAUCCCGCGUGUGCGAUGAAGGCCUUCGGGUUGUAAAGCACUCUUGGCAGGAAAGAAACGUCAUGGGUUAAUACCCCGUGAAACUGACGGUACCUGCAGAAUAAGCACCGGCUAACUACGUGCCAGCAGCCGCGGUAAUACGUAGGGUGCAAGCGUUAAUCGGAAUUACUGGGCGUAAAGCGUGCGCAGGCGGUUCGGAAAGAAAGAUGUGAAAUCCCAGAGCUCAACUUUGGAACUGCAUUUUUAACUACCGGGCUAGAGUGUGUCAGAGGGAGGUGGAAUUCCGCGUGUAGCAGUGAAAUGCAUAGAUAUGCGGAGGAACACCGAUGGCGAAGGCAGCCUCCUGGGAUAACACUGACGCUCAUGCACGAAAGCGUGGGGAGCAAACGGG